UGAGUCCCGCCCGGGCAAGCCACCAGAGGAGCCCGGAAGUCAACCUCCAGCGUCGGAUGAGAGUCUGGCGUUGAAGCGAGGAGAAGCGAAGCUGCAGGCCGCAACGUAGGUGAACUCUGCCGCGUCGAAAGAACAACCCGUGAGGGACCGAGCGGGCCGAGCCCUGCGCUUUUGGGCGAAGGCAGCAGUCCGGGCUUUGGAUUCUGGAGCAGCCCGGAACCGCCCCGGCGUAAGGGAGGU
rfam:Chloroflexi bacterium 13_1_40CM_4_65_16 13_1_40cm_4_scaffold_2018, whole genome shotgun sequence.